rnacentral:rRNA from 1 species
GGGUGAGUAACACGUGGAUAACCUACCUGUAAGACUGGGAUAACUUCGGGAAACCGGAGCUAAUACCGGAUAAUAUAUUGAACUGCAUGGUUCAAUAGUGAAAGACGGUUUUGCUGUCACUUAUAGAUGGAUCCGCGCCGCACUAGCUAGUUGGUAAGGUAACGGCUUACCAAGGCAACGAUGCGUAGCCGACCUGAGAGGGUGAUCGGCCACACUGGAACUGAGACACGGUCCAG